rnacentral:rRNA from 1 species
CCAGACUCCUACGGGAGGCAGCAGUGGGGGAUAUUGCACAAUGGGGGGAACCCUGAUGCAGCGACGCCGCGUGGGUGAAGGAGCGUUUCGGCGCGUAAAGCUCUAUCAGCAGGAAAGAAAAUGACGGUACCUGACUAAGAAGCCCCGGCUAACUACGUGCCAGCAGCCGCGGUAAUACGUAGGGGGCGAGCGUUAUCCGGAUUCACUGGGUGUAAAGGGAGCGUAGACGGCCAAGCAAGCCAGGGGUGAAAGCCCGGGGCCCAACCCCGGGACUGCUCUUGGAACUGCGCGGCUGGAGUGCAGGAGGGGCAGGCGGAAUUCCUGGUGUAGCGGUGAAAUGCGUAGAUAUCAGGAGGAACACCGGUGGCGAAGGCGGCCUGCUGGACUGCGACUGACGUUGAGGCCCGAAAGCGUGGGGAGCAAACAGGAUUAGAUACCCCAGUAUC